rnacentral:rRNA from 3 species
CGGCAACGGAUAUCUCGGCUCUCGCAUCGAUGAAGAACGUAGCGAAAUGCGAUACUUGGUGUGAAUUGCAGAAUCCCGUGAACCAUCGAGUCUUUGAACGCAAGUUGCGCCCGAAGCCAUCAGGCCGAGGGCACGCCUGCCUGGGCGUCACACGUCGUUGCCCCC